rnacentral:ribozyme from 1 species
GGUACAGGAUGAACAAUUUAUCCUGCCAAGUGAUUUAGGGUAUCACUUUUUAUGUGGGAAAAGCUGCCAAAUUCCGGGGAAGCCCUAAAGCUUUUGGUACCAAACCUGGAAUGAAAAUUCGGAGGUGGAAAAAGUAAUGCUUUUUAUAUGGUAACAAGUCAAAAGAUGAGUGAAAACGAAAUGGGUUAUCGCGGAUCUAAAUCAAUAAUAUUUAAAAGUCUUAUUGUAAAAGAGCAACGAGUAGACGGUAGCUACAUAAAUUCUAAUUUUUUGGCUUCGCAGCCAAAGACUUUAAUUCAGAAUUCUAUGUUAAGGUGUACUCUAACGGGCUUCGAAAGAAGUUA